AGAGUUUGAUCCUGGCUCAGGACGAACGCUGGCGGCGCGCCUAACACAUGCAAGUCGAACGAGCGAGAGAGAGCUUGCUUUCUCGAGCGAGUGGCGAACGGGUGAGUAAUGCGUGAGGAACCUGCCUCAAAGAGGGGGACAACAGUUGGAAACGACUGCUAAUACCGCAUAAGCCCACGGGUCGGCAUCGACCAGAGGGAAAAGGAGCAAUCCGCUUUGAGAUGGCCUCGCGUCCGAUUAGCUAGUUGGUGAGGUAACGGCCCACCAAGGCGACGAUCGGUAGCCGGACUGAGAGGUUGAACGGCCACAUUGGGACUGAGACACGGCCCAGACUCCUACGGGAGGCAGCAGUGGGGAAUAUUGCACAAUGGGGGAAACCCUGAUGCAGCGACGCCGCGUGGAGGAAGAAGGUCUUCGGAUUGUAAACUCCUGUUGUUGAGGAAGAUAAUGACGGUACUCAACAAGGAAGUGACGGCUAACUACGUGCCAGCAGCCGCGGUAAAACGUAGGUCACAAGCGUUGUCCGGAAUUACUGGGUGUAAAGGGAGCGCAGGCGGGAAGACAAGUUGGAAGUGAAAUCCAUGGGCUUAACCCAUGAACUGCUUUCAAAACUGUUUUUCUUGAGUAGUGCAGAGGUAGGCGGAAUUCCCGGUGUAGCGGUGGAAUGCGUAGAUAUCGGGAGGAACACCAGUGGCGAAGGCGGCCUACUGGGCACCAACUGACGCCGAAGCUCGAAAGUGCGGGUAUCGAACAGGAUUAGAUACCCUGGUAGUCCGCACGGUAAACGAUGGAUGCCCGCUGUUGGUCUGAACAGGUCAGCGGCCAAGCGAAAGCAUUAAGCAUCCCACCUGGGGAGUACGCCGGCAACGGUGAAACUCAAAGGAAUUGACGGGGGCCCGCACAAGCGGAGGAACAUGUGGUUUAAUUCGAUGAUACGCGAGGAACCUUACCCGGGCUUGAAUUGCAGAGGAAGGAUUUGGAGACAAUGACGCCCUUCGGGGUCUCUGUGAAGGUGCUGCAUGGUUGUCGUCAGCUCGUGCCGUGAGGUGUCGGCUUAAGUGCCAUAACGAGCGCAACCCCUCUCCUUAGUUGCCAUCAGGUUAAGCUGGGCACUCUGGGGACACUGCCACCGUAAGGUGUGAGGAAGGUGGGGAUGACGUCAAAUCAGCACGGCCCUUACGUCCGGGGCUACACACGUGUUACAAUGGCAGGUACAGAGAGACGGUUGUACGUAAGUACGAUCAAAUCCUUAAAGCCUGUCUCAGUUCGGACUGGGGUCUGCAACCCGACCCCACGGAGCUGGAUUCGCUAGUAAUCGCGCAUCAGCCAUGGCGCGGUGAAUACGUUCCCGGGCCUUGUACACACCGCCCGUCAAGCCAUGAACGCCGGGGGCGCCUAAAGUCCGUGACCGUAAGGAGCGGCCUAGGGCGAAACUGGUAAUUGGGGCUAAGUCGUAACAAGGUA
rnacentral:rRNA from 1 species